GUGGGGAAUAUUGGACAAUGGGGGGAACCCUGAUCCAGCCAUGCCGCGUGUGUGAAGAAGGCCUUUUGGUUGUAAAGCACUUUAAGCGAGGAGGAGGCUACCGAGAUUAAUACUCUUGGAUAGUGGACGUUACUCGCAGAAUAAGCACCGGCUAACUCUGUGCCAGCAGCCGCGGUAAUACAGAGGGUGCAAGCGUUAAUCGGAUUUACUGGGCGUAAAGCGCGCGUAGGUGGCCAAUUAAGUCAAAUGUGAAAUCCCCGAGAUUAACGUGGGAAUUGCAUUAGAUACUGGUUGGCUAGAGUAUGGGAGAGGAUGGUAGAAUUCCAGGUGUAGCGGUGAAAUGCGUAGAGAUCUGGAGGAAUACCGAUGGCGAAGGCAGCCAUCUGGCCUAAUACUGACACUGAGGUGCGAAAGCAUGGGGAGCAAACAGGAUUAGAAACCCUGGUAGUCC
rnacentral:rRNA from 1 species